rnacentral:misc_RNA from 1 species
GUGGGAGCAAGGCUUGCCCGCGAUAUAGGCAACUCGGUCUAUCAGUCAAACCGAGGUGAUGCUAUCGCGGGCAAGCCUUGCUCCCAC